GUGCUCGAUUUGGCAACACAUAUACUAAAAUUGGAAUGAUACAGAGAAGAUCAACAUGGCCCCUGAGCAGAGAUGACAUGCAAAUUUAUGAAGCAUUACAAAUUUUU
ensembl:snRNA U6 U6 spliceosomal RNA